rnacentral:pre_miRNA from 1 species
UAAGUACUCCCUCCGUCCGGAAAUACUUGUCGGAGAAAUGGAUGUAUCUAGAUGUAUUUUAGUUCUAGAUACAUCCAUUUUUAUUCAUUUCUCCGACAAGUAUUUCCAGACGGAGGGAGUAAUAU